GGUGCUAAACCUAGGGCUUGAUUUUGAAAUUUUUGAAAAUAUGAGGGAUUGAUCUAUUUUGAUGGGUCAAAAACCUAAUUGCUAUGCCCCCAAACGCGUAGGCGAAGACGGUUCGUCGAUCCGUCGAGCGAGUGCGGAGAUAUCGCCGAUUUGAGUGCUCUAGGGUUCGUUUUGACCCGAGGCGUUGAAGCGGCGCACGUGGACCGCGACGCCAAGUUUAGUAGCUCUACGGUACUACCACGAGGUGCGUGGUGACCAUCCCGAAGCAAUCGGGCUACCUUCUAUAUCUAAGUGUAAUAUUGAUCUAUUUGCAUAUUGUGCAUAUUCAUAUAGGGCCAGAGAUAGAUAUUAUUGCUUAUACUUGCAUGCUAGUAGCUCAAUAUAUCUUGCUUGGUUGGUUCAUGAUCUAGUAUGCAUGAUGGUUAUUUGAUAAAAAAACCUAGACCCUAUAUGAGAUAAUUAAUGCUUAUGUUGCUAAAGAACUAGUAUGAUGUAACUAGUGUUGAAAAUGAGUCUAAAUGACGAGUGGCAUCUAGUUAGAAAACUAUGACAAGUGACAUAUGAUUAUUGAUGACCUUGAUAUUAGAACAUUAGUGUAGUUGAGACUCUAUGAGAUUGGGUACAAGAAUACCUUGAUUCCAAGAUGAUGUUGCCCUUAGAGGGUAGGUUGCUGUUGUUCGUGAGUUGAUCGUGCUCACAUAGCCUGUCUGCGCUUGGAGGGGUCGCUCCCCACAAGCUGUGCACUCCGGAGGUUGGUCACUAGAGGGACAGUCAGUGUGCUGUCUGGACGGUCUGUGUGCUGUCCGCAGGCGGUCUCGGGGAGUAGUUCAGUGAGACUUUCCCUAUGAGAUUUACACGUGAGUUAUGCUUGUGAACCUCGAGUUCACCUUGAGAUUUGGUUCCCUAUUGAGUCAUACUCAUUAUUAUUGCUCAUGAUAGCUAGCUUUUAUAGUUGCUGUUGUUGUUCAUAGUUGCUUACUUACCCAGCUUUAUUUAUUGUUCAUGCAUUCAUGAUUUCAGAUUAAGGCAUAGCUUGAUAUAGUUGUUCUACAUACCUACUUUCAGUUCAGCUUAGCUUUAUAUAUCUUGCAUAUAUAUCUCUCUAUGCCUGCUUAAGACCUAGUGGGUAGAUCGGCGGAGUCGGCGGCCGAACCCACUGGGAACUAUUCGUAGUUCUCACACCCCUUGUUGCAGGUGCUAGUUCGAGUGUCCCGUCCGAGCGGGAGGAUCGCGGCAAGGGCUUAGCGCCCUAGCAGUAUCAGUUGAUAGCUUACUUUCCUACUUGCAUUAGUUCACCCUGCUUUUACAUUUUGAGAGUAGUUGUUGUAUAGGGUGAGGUUUUGGAGAGUAUAUGAUGUAUCUUCAUUUUGGAAAAGAAUGCAAGUUGUAUUAAA
rnacentral:lncRNA from 1 species